GUGCAAACGUUGUUCGGAAUCACUGGGCUUAAAGGGCGCGUAGGCGGCAGACCAAGUCCGGGGUGAAAUCUUUCGGCUUAACCGGAAAAGGGCCUUGGAUACUGGUUUGCUAGAGGGAGGUAGGGGUCUGUGGAACUUCUGGUGGAGCGGUGAAAUGCGUUGAUAUCAGAAGGAACGCCGGUGGCGAAGGCGAGUCUCUGGACAUUUCCUGACGCUGAGGCACGAAAGCCAGGGGAGCAAACGGG
rnacentral:rRNA from 1 species